rnacentral:rRNA from 1 species
UGGAUUAGUGGCGAACGGGUGAGUAACACGUGGGCAAUCUGCCCUUCACUCUGGGACAAGCCCUGGAAACGGGGUCUAAUACCGGAUAACACUCCUGCCCGCAUGGGUGGGGGUUAAAAGCUCCGGCGGUGAAGGAUGAGCCCGCGGCCUAUCAGCUUGUUGGUGAGGUAGUGGCUCACCAAGGCGACGACGGGUAGCCGGCCUGAGAGGGCGACCGGCCACACUGGGACUGAGACACGGCCCAGACUCCUACGGGAGGCAGCAGUGGGGAAUAUUGCACAAUGGGCGAAAGCCUGAUGCAGCGACGCCGCGUGAGGGAUGACGGCCUUCGGGUUGUAAACCUCUUUCAGCAGGGAAGAAGCGAAAGUGACGGUACCUGCAGAAGAAGCGCCGGCUAACUACGUGCCAGCAGCCGCGGUAAUACGUAGGGCGCAAGCGUUGUCCGGAAUUAUUGGGCGUAAAGAGCUCGUAGGCGGCUUGUCACGUCGGGUGUGAAAGCCCGGGGCUUAACCCCGGGUCUGCAUUCGAUACGGGCUAGCUAGAGUGUGGUAGGGGAGAUCGGAAUUCCUGGUGUAGCGGUGAAAUGCGCAGAUAUCAGGAGGAACACCGGUGGCGAAGGCGGAUCUCUGGGCCAUUACUGACGCUGAGGAGCGAAAGCGUGGGGGAGCGAACA